rnacentral:rRNA from 1 species
AUGACCACAUGUCACCCCGCCCCGACGCCCGUUGACACCAAGGCCAAAGUCUCUGCUGCUGCCGGCGAGCCGGCUGACGACCCCGCCUUCUAUCGCAGCAUCACCGGCGCCCUUCAGUACUUAACACUCACGCGCCCGGACCUGACAUACGUCGUGCGGCAUAUUUCCAACAAUAUGCACGCCCCACGUCAACCACACUGGGCCAUGGUAAAGCGCAUAUUGCGCUAUGUCCGCGGCACUACCUCCCACGGCAUCUCCAUUGCUGCCUCCUCGCCAACCGAGCUCGUCGCCUACACCAACGCCGAUUGGGCCGGCUGCCCGGACACCCGUCGCUCGACCUCGGGAUACUGUGUCUUCCUCGGCGACACACUCAUUUCUUGGUCAAGCAAGCGGCAGCCUACAGUCUCUCGGUCGAGUGCCGAAGCUGAAUACCGAGCCGUGGCAAAUGCGGUUGCUGAAUGUUGCUGGGUGCGUCAACUCCUUCAUGAGCUACACUCU